AAACCUAGACCAGGCCCUCAAAUUCGGACCCGGACCCUAUACAAUUAAAUAUUAAUAUAUAAUGCCUAACCCUAAUUUUCUUUGUUUCUUAUUCCAAUUUCUUCUUCACCGCCGUUUGUUUGUCUCCCUCUCUUCUUAAAUUCUAAAUUCUUACUUUCCAGUCUCCACGGUCGCCAUCGCCAAUCCACCAUUCACGCCAUUCUUCGAUCUCCCUCAAUGCCUCAACAGACCCCAGACGCCAUUCAAGAUAAUGGAUGAAAAUCAAUCACAAUGUACGUCCAAAUCAGUGGCACAACCACAUGAUAAUGCUGUUAAGGAGUCAAAAAAUACAUUGGAUGUAGAUGAAGAAGGGUUUGUUAAUGAUGAUGGUACUCCAAGUCAUUGCACAAAAGAUAGGGAAGGAAAACAACCUCUGAGGCAUGAAAUUAUUUUAUAAGAGAGGAGGUAAAUGGUGUGACUAGAGCUGUUUGUAAGCAUUGUGGUGUUAGUCUAGUAACUGGUGGUAAUAGUGGAACUUCUCAUCUCUUGAAACACGCAAAGAAAGUUUGAUCAGGAAGACAUUUGAAUCUUGCACAUGGUCAAAACAACUUUAAGAGUUAAGAAGGAAUGUGAUGGGUCAAGUUCUCUGGAAUUUAGGGGUAAAAGCAAACUUAAAGAGUUCGACCAAGAUUUUUCGAGAAAGGAAUUAGUUUCCAUGGUUAUUAUGCACAAGUAUCCAUUGUCUAUGGUGGAUCAUAUUGGGUUUAGGAGGUUUGUUGAUAGCCUUAAUUGCACUUUUAAGAUGAUUUCUAGAUCCACAUUAAAGCGAGAUAUCAUGAAGAUGUUUAAAGAAGAAAAACUUUCUCUACACAAAUUGCUCGAGCAUAAUUCAUUACUGAUAUGUGGACUGCAACCAACCAGAACAAGGGUUACAUGGUCAUAACUUUGCAUUUUAUUGAUAAAUAAUGGGUCUUACGAAAUCGCACCUUAAGGUUUUGCUAUGUGCCUUGUCCUCACAUCGGAGGUGUUAUUGCAAAGGUUCUUCAGAAGAUGCUUAUGCUUACUCCACAGUAAUUGAUGAUUCGGAUGUUGAUGAAGAACAACAAAUAGAUGCGAUUCAACUAGAUCUUGAUGAAGUUGAAGAAGAUUGAUCAAAAUUGAUUGUAAUGUUAUGGAAUAUAAACUAUAUAUCUCUUUUAGUCUUUUUAUAUUUGGUUUUUAAUUAUGCAUUUAGACAAGUGUUUUUACUUUUUAGUAAUUAUUUUGUAUUUGAAUUUCAUGGACUUGAACAAGUGUUUGUAAUACGAUAAUAAGUAGCUUACAAAAAUACAAAAUGACUCGCAAAAGGUUCAAUUUUGACAAA